rnacentral:rRNA from 1 species
GAUGAACGCUGGCGGCGUGCCUAAUACAUGCAAGUCGAGCGAACGGACGAGAAGCUUGCUUCUCUGAUGUUAGCGGCGGACGGGUGAGUAACACGUGGAUAACCUACCUAUAAGACUGGGAUAACUUCGGGAAACCGGAGCUAAUACCGGAUAAUAUUUUGAACCGCAUGGUUCAAAAGUGAAAGACGGUCUUGCUGUCACUUAUAGAUGGAUCCGCGCUGCAUUAGCUAGUUGGUAAGGUAACGGCUUACCAAGGCAACGAUGCAUAGCCGACCUGAGAGGGUGAUCGGCCACACUGGAACUGAGACACGGUCCAGACUCCUACGGGAGGCAGCAGUAGGGAAUCUUCCGCAAUGGGCGAAAGCCUGACGGAGCAACGCCGCGCGAGUGAUGAAGGUCUUCGGAUCGUAAAACUCUGUUAUUAGGGAAGAACAUAUGUGUAAGUAACUGUGCACAUCUUGACGGUACCUAAUCAGAAAGCCACGGCUAACUACGUGCCAGCAGCCGCGGUAAUACGUAGGUGGCAAGCGUUAUCCGGAAUUAUUGGGCGUAAAGCGCGCGUAGGCGGUUUUUUAAGUCUGAUGUGAAAGCCCACGGCUCAUCCGUGGAGGGUCAUUGGAAACUGGAAAACUUGAGUGCAGAAGAGGAAAGUGGAAUUCCAUGUGUAGCGGUGAAAUGCGCAGAGAUAUGGAGGAACACCAGUGGCGAAGGCGACUUUCUGGUCUGUAACUGACGCUGAUGUGCGAAAGCGUGGGGAUCAAACAGGAUUAGAUACCCUGGUAGUCCACGCCGUAAACGAUGAGUGCUAAGUGUUAGGGGGUUUCCGCCCCUUAGUGCUGCAGCUAACGCAUUAAGCACUCCGCCUGGGGAGUACGACCGCAAGGUUGAAACUCAAAGGAAUUGACGGGGACCCGCACAAGCGGUGGAGCAUGUGGUUUAAUUCGAAGCAACGCGAAGAACCUUACCAAAUCUUGACAUCCUUUGACAACUCUAGAGAUAGAGCCUUCCCCUUCGGGGGACAAAGUGACAGGUGGUGCAUGGUUGUCGUCAGCUCGUGUCGUGAGAUGUUGGGUUAAGUCCCGCAACGAGCGCAACCCUUAAGCUUAGUUGCCAUCAUUAAGUUGGGCACUCUAAGUUGACUGCCGGUGACAAACCGGAGGAAGGUGGGGAUGACGUCAAAUCAUCAUGCCCCUUAUGAUUUGGGCUACACACGUGCUACAAUGGACAAUACAAAGGGCAGCGAAACCGCGAGGUCAAGCAAAUCCCAUAAAGUUGUUCUCAGUUCGGAUCGUAGUCUGCAACUCGACUACAUGAAGCUGGAAUCGCUAGUAAUCGUAGAUCAGCAUGCUACGGUGAAUACGUUCCCGGGUCU